rnacentral:lncRNA from 1 species
CCAAAGCUCUCAGAUGGCCAAGAUCACAUCUGAAGUAUUGUUCUGCCUAACUACUGCAGUGUCAUUAGUUUUCACAUAGAACAAUAUUCAAUCCCUUGUGCAUGUUCCAAAGACACAUAGGAUACAUCUAUGCAAUAAUUUUGUAAACUACCUCUGAUUUCUCUACCUUCUCCCUCAGGCUGUCUUGUUCAAAUCCACAUGGUGAGCCCUCUACUUUUUUUUUUUUCCCUGACUUUGCUGGAUCAUAGUUUUAGCAUAAGGGAUCUAGUUUCCUGAUUGCAGAUCAAACCUAAGGCCCCUACAUUUGAAGCACAGAGUCUUAGCCACUGGACCACCAGGGACAUCCCAGCCCUGUACUUUUGAGUCAUCUAAUUUGAACACUAGUGGUACUUAAUUUCUAAGGCUUUAUUGGCUAACCCAUCUUGGCAACCUAGGAACAACAGUAAGUAGGAAAGUAUUUUGGAAAACGUAAUACUAAUAUGUUACAAGUUCCUAAAAAUGGAAGCUAUGCCUGUGCCUAAUGCAGAUUUAAUACCUUCUGGAGAGUGAUAACUAGCCACUAGUACUUUAAGAUACUUUUAAUCUAUCUGCCCUGGUGGAUUGGUUAAUUUUUACCUUGUUUUAUUUUUUUAGGUUGUGACAUUUAUAAACAUUAUGGAGGUAUGCAAAACUCUUCUGUGGUCUGAAAUUUCUGCCAGGGGAUCUGGUUGGGGGUGUUGGAGAUGGCACUUCUAGUUAUGCCAGGCUUCAUUCAGCUUUAACCUACCUCUAGCCCAAUGCCCACAGUGUGGGUAGGCUUGGGGAUAGAUCAGAAAAAGAAUGGGAAAGUCCCAUUCUACUUGAACUCUGACAUGGGAGAUCAUCCCUCCAUUAUUCCAUAAGAUUAGCCCCUAAGAAUGUAUUCAUAAAGCUGAAGUUCAUAGAGGUAAUUCUGACUUUAUGCAUGGAUGAAUACAAGAGUUUAAAAUACAUAAUCAUGAGUCAGUCUAGCCCUUUGUCAGGUCUUAUUUCUGUGUUGGCUUAAAGUAAGGUCUUCCAUAAGUAUGCAAAGAAUCUUUAUAAUCAAAAUAACAGGAACAACCCAGUUUUUAAAUGAACAAAGGAUUGAGUUGACAUUUAUCCAAACAAAUACAAAUG